CACGUAGGGGGCAAGCGUUGUCCGGAAUCAUUGGGCGUAAAGAGCGUGUAGGCGGUUCAGUAAGUCUGCUGUGAAAGUCCAGGGCUCAACCCUGGGAUGCCGGUGGAUACUGCUGGGCUAGAGUACGGAAGAGGCGAGUGGAAUUCCCGGUGUAGCGGUGAAAUGCGCAGAUAUUGGGAGGAACACCAAUGGCGAAGGCAGCACCCUGGGCCGGUACUGACGCUGAGGAGCGAAAGCGUGGGGAGCAAACAGG
rnacentral:rRNA from 1 species